rnacentral:rRNA from 1 species
GAACGCUGGCGGCAGGCCUAACACAUGCAAGUCGAGCGGUAGAGAGAAGCUUGCUUCUCUUGAGAGCGGCGGACGGGUGAGUAAUGCCUAGGAAUCUGCCUGGUAGUGGGGGGAUAACGUUCGGAAACGAAACGCUAAUACCGCAUACGUCCUACGGGAGAAAGCAGGGGACCUUCGGGCCUUGCGCUAUCAGAUGAGCCUAGGUCGGAUUAGCUAGUUGGUGAGGUAAUGGCUCACCAAGGCGACGAUCCGUAACUGGGUCUGAGAGGAUGAUCAGUCACACUGGAACUGAGACACGGUCCAGACUCCUACGGGAGGCAGCAGUGGGGAAUAUUGGACAAUGGGCGAAAGCCUGAUCCAGCCAUGCCGCGUGUGUGAAGAAGGUCUUCGGAUUGUAAAGCACUUUAAGUUGGGAGGAAGGGCAGUAAGUUAAUACCUUGCUGUUUUGACGUUACCAACAGAAUAAGCACCGGCUAACUUCGUG